GUACUCGCUUUGGCAGUACACAUACUAAAAUUAGUACUGUACAGAGAUGAUUAGCAUUGUCCCUGCACAAGGAUGACACUCAUAAGUGUGAAGCGUUCCAUAUUUUU